rnacentral:rRNA from 1 species
UGUGCCAGCAGCCGCGGUAAUACGUAGGGCGCAAGCGUUAUCCGGAUUUAUUGGGCGUAAAGGGCUCGUAGGCGGCUCGUCGCGUCCGGUGUGAAAGUCCAUCGCUUAACGGUGGAUCUGCGCCGGGUACGGGCGGGCUGGAGUGCGGUAGGGGAGACUGGAAUUCCCGGUGUAACGGUGGAAUGUGUGGAUAUCGGGAAGAACACCGAUGGCGAAGGCAGGUCUCUGGGCCGUCACUGACGCUGAGGAGCGAAAGCGUGGGGAGCGAAC